UUGGUACUAUCUAAUAAAAUGUAUCCUUUAGAUGUCAAUUAUCCAAUUACAUCUAUAAACCAAUUACCUUUCUCAACAAUCUCGGUUUGAGAUGAUACGCUUUCUCUCUUGGAACAUCAGUCACAAUACUCAGAUGCAAAAUCACUAACAUAACUGACACAAUUUACAUAGAAGUGUUUAUCAUGGAUGUGUGUUCUGAGAAUGCAUUAUGCUUCAAACGAUCACAUUUAACACUAAUCUUAAAACAUCAGAAAAAAUAUAAUUGAAAAAAAACAAAUAAUUUACGCAUAACCCCAAUAAAAAAAAUCAGCCAUGAAAUAUACAAGAGAUAUUUGAAUUACCUGAGAUUUAUUAUCAUUGGUUUCAUUGUAACAGC
rnacentral:lncRNA from 1 species